rnacentral:rRNA from 1 species
AUUGAACGCUGGCGGGAUGCCUAACACAUGCAAGUCGAACGAGUGGCGGACGGGUGAGUAAUAUAUGGGAACGUGCCCAGUAGAGGGGGAUAACUACUGGAAACGGUGGCUAAUACCGCAUACCAUCGGAUGUACCCAUAUGGGAUUAGCUAGUAGGUGGGGUAAUGGCUCACCUAGGCGACGAUCCCUAGCUGGUCUGAGAGGAUGACCAGCCACACUGGAACUGAGACACGGCCCAGACUCCGACGGGAGGCAGCAGUGGGGAAUAUUGCACAAUGGGCGCAAGCCUGAUGCAGCCAUGCCGCGUGUAUGAUGAAGGCCUUCGGGUUGUAAAGUACUUUAGGCAGAGAGGCGUUACCUGCAGAAUAAGCACCGGCUAACUCCGUGCCAGCAGCCGCGGUAAUAC